rnacentral:rRNA from 1 species
CCUACGGGAGGCAGCAGUGGGGAAUCUUGCGCAAUGGGCGAAAGCCUGACGCAGCCAUGCCGCGUGAAUGAUGAAGGUCUUAGGAUUGUAAAAUUCUUUCACCGGGGACGAUAAUGACGGUACCCGGAGAAGAAGCCCCGGCUAACUUCGUGCCAGCAGCCGCGGUAAUACGAAGGGGGCUAGCGUUGCUCGGAAUUACUGGGCGUAAAGGGAGCGUAGGCGGAUAGUUUAGUCAGAGGUGAAAGCCCAGGGCUCAACCUUGGAAUUGCCUUUGAUACUGGCUAUCUUGAGUUUGGGAGAGGUGAGUGGAACUCCGAGUGUAGAGGUGAAAUUCGUAGAUAUUCGGAAGAACACCAGUGGCGAAGGCGACUCACUGGCCCAAUACUGACGCUGAGGCUCGAAAGCGUGGGGAGCAAACAGGAUUAGAUACCCUGGUAGUCCACGCCGUAAACGAUGAGUGCUAGUUGUCGGCAUGCAUGCAUGUCGGUGACGCAGCUACGCAUAAGACACUCCGCCGUCGGGAGGUACGGUCGCGAGAUAAACGUACGAAGAAGUAGACGCGNGAGACGUGCGACGGACGACGACGAGGGAGAGG